rnacentral:rRNA from 1 species
CCCGCCGGCGACCGGCGCACGGGUGAGUAACACGUAUGAAACCUGCCCGUAGCAGGGGGAUAAGCGGAAGAAAUUCCGUCUAAUACCGCGUAACAACCCGAGGAGGCAUCUCCUCGGGUUUAAAGGAAGCGAUUCCGGCUACGGAUGGUCAUGCGUCGCAUUAGCUAGUUGGCGGGGUAACGGCCCACCAAGGCGACGAUGCGUAGGGGUUCUGAGAGGAAGGUCCCCCACACUGGUACUGAGACACGGACCAGACUCCUACGGGAGGCAGCAG